AGGGGCAGCAGCUUUAUAGCAAUAUAGAGGCUGGCGACCGGCAAACGGGUGCGGAACACGUACACAACCUUCCUUGAAUAGGGGGAUAGCCCAUAGAAAUGUGGAUUAAUACCCCGUAAUAUAGCGGUGUGGCAUCACACUGUUAUUACAGUUUCGACGAUUCGAGAUGGGUGUGCGGCUGAUUAGGUAGUUGGCGGGGUAAAGGCCCACCAAGCCUUCGAUCAGUAGCUGAUGUGAGAGCAUGAUCAGCCACACGGGCACUGAGACACGGGCCCGACUCCUACGGGAGGCAGCAGUAAGGAAUAUUGGUCAAUGGACGCAAGUCUGAACCAGCCAUGCCGCGUGAAGGAUGAAGGUCCUCUGGAUUGUAAACUUCUUUUAUAGGGGGCGAAAAAAGGUCUUUCUAGAUCACUUGACAGUACCCUAUGAAUAAGCACCGGCUAACUCCGUGCCAGCAGCCGCGGUAAUACGGAGGGUGCAAGCGUUAUCCGGAUUCACUGGGUUUAAAGGGUGCGUAGGCGGGUAGGUAAGUCAGAGGUGAAAUCCUGGAGCUUAACUCCAGAACUGCCUUUGAUACUAUCUAUCUUGAAUAUGGUGGAGGUAAGCGGAAUAUGUCAUGUAGCGGUGAAAUGCAUAGAUAUGACAUAGAACACCUAUUGCGAAGGCAGCUUACUACGCCUAUAUUGACGCUGAGGCACGAAAGCGUGGGGAUCAAACAGGAUUAGAUACCCUGGUAGUCCACGCCCUAAACGAUGAUUACUCGACGUAUGCGAUACACAGUAUGCGUCUGAGCGAAAGCAUUAAGUAAUCC
rnacentral:rRNA from 1 species